ACAUGGAGUUCAGAUGUGUGCACUUCAGGUCUCCAAGGUGAACAGCCUCUGGCGUGUUAGAACAAUGUAGGUAAGGGAAGUCGGAAAGCCGGAUCCGUAACUU